rnacentral:rRNA from 1 species
GAGUUUGAUCCUGGCUCAGAACAAACGCUGGCGGCGUGGCUAAGACAUGCAAGUCGAACGGACCAUUAAUUUAUUAAUGGUUAGUGGCGAAAGGGUUAGGAACGGACAGGUAACGUGCCCUGUGCUCCGGGAUAGCGUCGUUCGCCUUCGGGCGAGCUUCCGAAAGGGGCGGUAAUACCGGAUAAUAUCAUUUGUUGAUGGACGGAUGUUCAAAGAUUUAUCGGCACAGGAGCGGCCUAUCUCCUAUCAGCUUGUUGGUGAGGUAAUGGCUCACCAAGGCAAUGACGGGUAGCGGGACUGAGAGGUUGGCCCGCAACAUCGGGACUGAGACACUGCCCGGACCUCCACGGAGGGCUGCAGUAACGAAUCUUGCGCAAUGGGCUAAAGCCUGACGCAGCGACGCCGCGUGCGGGAGGAAGUCCCUCGGGAUGUAAACCGCUGUCAGGGGGAAGAAAGUCCGCUUCGGCGGAUUGAUCUAACCCAAAGGAAGUCACGGCUAACUUCGUGCCAGCAGCCGCGGUAAGACGAAGGUGGCAAGCGUUGUUCGGUAUUACUGGGCUUAAAGCGUGUGUAGGCGGAAAGGUAAGCGUCCUGUGAAAGCCCCCGGCUUAACCGGGGAACUGCUCGACGAACUGCCCUUCUUGAGGCAAGUAGGGGUGCAUGGAACUCUUGGUGGAGCGGUGGAAUGCGUAGAUAUCAAGAGGAACGCCGGCGGUGAAAACGGUGCACUGGGCUUGUUCUGACGCUGAGACACGAAAGCGUGGGGAGCGAACGGGAUUAGAUACCCCGGUAGUCCACGCCGUAAACGAUGUCUACUAGGUUGUGGAAGUUCUGACGCUGCCACAACCGAAGCAAAAGUGAUAAGUAGACCGCCUGGGGAGUACGGUCGCAAGGCUAAAACUCAAAGGAAUUGACGGGGGCUCACACAAGCGGUGGAGCAUGUGGAUUAAUUCGAAGCAACGCGCAGAACCUUACCUGGGCUUGACAUGCUUGGAUGCUUGCCUGGAAACAGGUUAAGCUGCCCUUCGGGGUGAAACUUGCACAGGGUGCUGCAUGGCUGUCGUCAGCUCGUGUCGUGAGAUGUCGGGUUAAGUCCUUUAACG